rnacentral:misc_RNA from 1 species
AGUUGUUGGUGAGCCAAUGGAAUUCAACCUUCCUGAACUGCGAGAGAUGGCUCUAUCUCAGUCUCGGGAUUCAUCAUCUUCCAGUGGGCAGUGGCCAAGAAACAUCCUCGGGGGAUUGAACGAAGCAGCACAAAAAUGUCUGUACAUGACUAUAUCUGAUCAAAUCCGAACUACCUUGGAAAACUUAAGGAAUUUUAGUAAAUCUUAUGCCAAGGCAGAGCAAU